rnacentral:lncRNA from 1 species
AGUGAUCAUGAACCACCAUCAGAAAUGAGGAUGAGAUUACCCAGACGAGCCAAAACAGCCGCGCUUCAGAAAAGUAAACUUAACCUUGCAGAGUUUCUUAAUGAAGACCCGAGUUAAGGGAGCUGAUAAGGAUGGAGUCCUUUGAAGUUGUGCUUAUAUCUUUGCUUUAAUAGUUAUUAUGGAAGAAUCAGAAAUACCUGCUCUGUUUCUGCAAACAUGAAUGAUGCCACAUGAGUUCACCAUCUGUUAGUGUCAUCCAUCUGCACGGAUCCAGAUUUGUCUUUAUCAGGACAUUAGGUGGGCCUAGAAACCUGCUUUUAAAUAGGUCCCCUAUGUGAACCCUACAGAACUAUGAUAUUUUGGAAAGAUUUAUAAUUAGCCCAGUAGCUUAUAUUGAGAAGCUUAGACAAGCUGUAAAAUAGGUGAAUAUGUCAGGCAUCAAACAAACGGCAAUGAAGGAUGAAGUACAUAGAAAGCUGCUCUGACCACUGAGAACCAGUAUAAUGGACAAAGCUCUCCGUAUUUACAUUAAACCAUGGCUUUGAGAAUUGCAUCAUUCCUAUACUGAGGAUUUAUUUGAUAACUUUACCUCAAUGGUAAUUCCUCUUCCUAAAUCUUUCCAUAUAGGAACACUAGUUUAUAAAUGAUUCUAGACUAGGGAGGUGUUCACACACAUAAAUCAUGAAAGGUACAUUGGGUUUUGGCACAUCAAAAUAUACUUGAAAAAUAAACAAUAUGAAUGGGAAAAAAGUUAUAGGAAGUCAUCGUUAUGUAUUGAUUAUGAGCACAGUUUCUUCACUGUUAAAUUUCAAUUAUCUUUUGAAAUUGUCGCUGUUAUGAAACAUAAAUAUUUUGAAACUUGCAUUGUAUAAAAGUAGUCGUUUUUCUUUCUGCCAUACCCAAAGAAACACCUUUUAUUUGGAUAAAAAUGUCCUAACAUGAAAUUUUUAUUAAUUGUGCUUCUGCUUCUUAAAAUUUGUCAGAGAUCAUUCAUUUUAACAGAUGCUCUGAGAUGGACUGAAAGGUAAUAUUGCUGGCUUUGAGAACCAAAAGGCUAUUCUAUAUAUAUAAUAUGUGCUUUAUAGAACUCAGAAAAGGAGUCAAAGUUACAAAGCAAGAAUGCUUAUUAAGCAAAAGGAAAAGCAGAUAUGGUAAUAAAAUAAACCAAUGAAAACACUGUUGUUCUUCACUCUUGGCUAUAUGUCUUUUCCUGUGCUUCAUACUUCUUAUUGUUAUAGUUCUUGUUAAAUCCCUGUCUUAGAAUAAAUUCGUGGGGAAUAGGAAGUAAGCAGGGCUAAAAUGGCACAUUAGUGUGGUGUAAGGGAAAGCCACUAGGAAUGAACUAUCAUCUCAUUUAUACAUGUGCAGAGUAGCCAAAAGGAAAGACGCUGUGAUCACGUAGACACUACCAAAGUUUGCUUUUCUCUGACUUUAAGCACCGACUUUUCCAUUAGCAGUAGUUUUACUACUCCGACUUUAGACAAUAGCUGUGGCUGCAGGGAACAGCAUCAGCAUUACUAAGGAGUAUUAUCCUGUUUCUACAGGAUACCCCUGUAAACUUUGGAGCAAACUGCUAAAGUACAAUAAAAUCAACAGGUAUAAAAACAGUUACCUUUUUUUCCAUUCAAAACUGUGAACUUAAACCAGUGUUCUUGUUUCCCGUUGAGGCACACAUUUGCUGAAGAGUAAACAUGCAAUUGUGCCAUUGCUCUUAUGGCCCACAGAUGAGAGGUUUAAUUACAGAAAGAGAACUGAGAACCCAUUUUUUUUAAUGAAUGAAAACAUGCUAUUUGAUAAGCUAAUCAGUCUUUUUCUAUACAUGUAUAACUGUAGAAGAGAUACACUUCUGACCGACACCUUUGCCCUUCCCAGUUUGCCUCGAGGUAGUUGGCACCCACCUGUUACACAACUGUUCAUGGGUUAGGUCGUUGUCACACAUCUUUACAAUACUAGCUUCCUAAGUUACAGAAUUGUUAUAUGUGAAAACUGCACAGAAAUAGAACUGGGCAAUUACAUAUUUAAGCUGAGGGCAUUAAAAAAUUCACCGAUAAAAAGAGAACAUCAAAAUCUGCUUUUGUUGCAAAACCCCACAAUGGUCUUGUGUACUGUAUGUAAAAACAGAAUUAUAAUAAAAUGAUUAAUGCUAAUGACCUAAUAUAUAGACAGAUCACAGGACUAGAAAUAUGUUAGUAUCAAUUGGUAUUCAUGAGAAUGAAUAUUGACAUAGAAAAUAAAGAUAGUGCAAGGGCUGCAGACUAAUUGUCUUCAUUUUUGAGAGUUUGGUUAUGAACUGUGCAGCUUGCUAGAGAUGCUGCUGUUAGACUCCAUUCAAUAGGAUGAUUAAGGCACAUCUGAAUGGGGCUCAGAGGGCAGCUUGCUGUGUUCCCAUCACACAGAUCCACUUUCUCAUCAGUUUUCAUUUGUAGCAUGCUGUAAAAAAAAAGUGUAAGGCAUUUUAAGUUUAAAUUUCAAAUUGUCGACCUUGUAGAAAAUUUUGGAAUACUUUUUGUACUCUAAAGCAGCUAAGCAAACUGUAUCAUGCUGACACCACUAGUUCUGUAGGUGUCUUAGUGAACUGAGUGUGGUGAACUAGAUCAUGUUUAAGUAGUGCACUCAGACACCUCAAUACAAAGGCCAUCAAUCACUGGAUCACAUUAGUUGACAUAAGAAAGGCAUUUAACUUAUUGGCAAGGUUCAACUCCUUAGUAUCAGAACUACUUUUAAGAGAAUGAACAUUUGUUAGUUCCUGCCAUGUUCUAAGCUCAUUCACAUGCAAUAAUCAUUUUAAUUUCAGGAAAAGGCAGAUAUGGUAAUGAUAUAAACCAAUGAAAAUUACUGUUGUUCUUUACCAAUGAUAAAUUGAGUCUCAAAGUUAAGUAUAAAUAGUGACGUCAUACUGUAACUGGUGUGGAACUA